AUUGAACGCUGGCGGUAUGCUUAAGACAUGCAAGUCGAACGGUAACAGACCUUCGGGUGCUGACGAGUGGUGGACGGGUGAGUAACACGUGGGAAUCUACCUUAUAGUGGGGGAUAAGCCAGGGAAACUUGGACUAAUACCGCAUACGCCCUACGGGGAAAGGAGCAAUUCGCUAUAAGAUGAGCCCGCGUCUGAUUAGCUAGUUGGUGAGGUAAAGGCUCACCAAGGCGACGAUCAGUAGCUGGUCUGAGAGGAUGGCCAGCCACAUUGGGACUGAGACACGGCCCAGACUCCUACGGGAGGCAGCAGUCGGGAAUAUUGGACAAUGGGGGCGAACCCUGAUCCAGCAAUACCGCGUGUGUGAAGAAGGCCUGCGGGUUGUAAAGCACUUUUAGUGGGGAAGAUAAUGACGUUACCCACAGAAAAGACACCGGCUAACUCCGUG
rnacentral:rRNA from 1 species